AAUGUAUCGGAACGUGCCCAGUCGUGGGGGAUAACUGCUCGAAAGAGCAGCUAAUACCGCAUACGACCUGAGGGUGAAAGCGGGGGAUCGCAAGACCUCGCGCGAUUGAAGCGGCCGAUAUCAGAUUAGGUAGUUGGUGAGGUAAAGGCUCACCAAGCCGACGAUCUGUAGCUGGUCUGAGAGGACGACCAGCCACACUGGGACUGAGACACGGCCCAGACUCCUACGGGAGGCAGCAGUGGGGAAUUUUGGACAAUGGGCGCAAGCCUGAUCCAGCCAUGCCGCGUGCGGGAAGAAGGCCUUCGGGUUGUAAACCGCUUUUGUCAGGGAAGAAAAGGUUCUGGCUAAUACCUGGGACUCAUGACGGUACCUGAAGAAUAAGCACCGGCUAACUACGUGCCAGCAGCCGCGGUAAUACGUAGGGUGCAAGCGUUAAUCGGAAUUACUGGGCGUAAAGCGUGCGCAGGCGGUUAUGCAAGACAGAGGUGAAAUCCCCGGGCUCAACCUGGGAACUGCCUUUGUGACUGCAUGGCUAGAGUACGGUAGAGGGGGAUGGAAUUCCGCGUGUAGCAGUGAAAUGCGUAGAUAUGCGGAGG
rnacentral:rRNA from 1 species